CAGCCAUAUCACAGUGAAACACCGGUUCUCGUCCGAUCACCGAAGUUAAGUAACGGUGAACCUAGACAGUACCUAGAUGGGUGACCUCUGGCGAAUACUAUGUGUUGUAAG